rnacentral:rRNA from 1 species
UGGGGAAUAUUGGACAAUGGGGGGAACCCUGAUCCAGCCAUGCCGCGUGUGUGAAGAAGGCCUUAUGGUUGUAAAGCACUUUAAGCGAGGAGGAGGGUACUGGUAUUAAUACUACCAGCUACUGGACGUUACUCGCAGAAUAAGCACCGGCUAACUCUGUGCGAGCAGCCGCGGUAAUACAGAGGGUGCGAGCGUUAAUCGGAUUUACUGGGCGUAAAGCGUGCGUAGGCGGCUAAUUGAGUCGGAUGUGAAAUCCCCGAGCUUAACUUGGGAAUUGCAUUCGAUACUGGUUAGCUAGAGUGUGGGAGAGGAUGGUAGAAUUCCAGGUGUAGCGGUGAAAUGCGUAGAGAUCUGGAGGAAUACCGAUGGCGAAGGCAGCCAUCUGGCCUAACACUGACGCUGAGGUACGAAAGCAUGGGGAGCAAACAGG